UCAGUGAUAUNAUAUUUAAACAGCUGCGGUAUCAUAACUGUACUAAGGUAGCAUAAUAAUUUGCCUUAUAAAUUAAGGCUAGAAUGAAUGGUUUGACGAAAGUUGAUCUGUCUCUUAUUUAUUUUUUAGAAAUUAAUUUUUAUAGUGAAAAAGCUUUAAUUAUUUAAAGGGACGAGAAGACCCUAUUGAGCUUUAUCAAAUAUAUAUAAUAAUUUUUUAGUUAUAUAAUAGAUGAUUUUGAUUGGGGUAAUCAAGGAAUAAACUAAUUUAUUUAUUAACUUCCUUACAAAAAAUAUUGACAAAUAAAUUAACCAAAAUUUUGCUUACGUGAAUAAGUUACCAUAGGGAUAACAGCGUAAUUUUUUUAGAGAGUUCUUAUUAAUAAAAAAGAUUGCGACCUCGAUGUUGGAUUAAAAUAACCUUAANGUGAAGAGGCUUUAAUAGGUAAAUCUGUUCGAUUUUUAAAAUUUUACAUGAUCAGAGUUCAGACCGG
rnacentral:rRNA from 1 species